rnacentral:rRNA from 1 species
UACGUAGGGUGCAAGCGUUAAUCGGAAUUACUGGGCGUAAAGCGUGCGCAGGCGGUUUUGUAAGACAGAGGUGAAGUCCCCGGGCUCAACCUGGGAACUGCCUUUGUGACUGCAAGGCUUGAGUGCGGCAGAGGGGGAUGGAAUUCCGCGUGUAGCAGUGAAAUGCGUAGAUAUCAGGAGGAACACCGGUGGCGAAGGCGGCGCUCUGGACCGAGACUGACGCUGAGGCGCGAAAGCGUGGGGAGCAAACAGG